GCGUAAUAGCUCACUGGUCGAGUGAUCCUGCGCCGAAGAUUUCCGGGGCUAAAACUUACUACCGAAGCUACGGCAUCAGUAAUGAUGGGUAGGGGAGCUUCCCAUACAGGUUGAAGCAUGACCGUAAGGACAUGUGGACAGUAUGGGAGUGAGAAUGUUGGCAUGAGUAGCGAGAUGUGGGUGAGAAUCCCACAGGCCGUAAACCCAAGGUUUCC
rnacentral:rRNA from 1 species